UAACCCCUUAAUCUCCAUAUUAUCUCCAAACACUUUAAAAAAUGGGUGGGCUUAGCUAACUCUAUCUCAAAUGGACUAUUCCGGAUUAGCUAAUUGCACCUAACCCCACCAAAUCCCAACAAAAUACUAUUUUCUAUUCAUGAUAACCCACUAUCCUUCUUAUCCCACCUACUCCAACCAAACACUAUUUUUCACUAUCAUGGACUAAUUACAACCCCCAACCAAACACAAAAAUACUCUAACCCCACCUUAAUUCUGAACUUAACCCUAUUCCUGAAAUAAUUAGUUUUUUCUUAACCCCGAACCAAACGGUAGUUAUGAGUUCCCAUUCGCUAAUAUUUUUCUUUCAUUGGAUACUCGAAGUGCUGAGUACACCGGCCCUGCUGUGUGAUGGUUUACUCUGAGGGCUUGUUUGGUUCAUCCAUUUUGGGUAUGGAAUGGGAAUCGAUUUGAUCAAAUCCGGUUAAUUUUGUUUGGUUUGCAUGAAUCGGUUUGGGAUUUCUAUUCCGGACUGGAAUGGGAAUGGCCCAUUAGCCUUCAACUUGAUUCCGGUCUUCUAGCCCGGAUUGAGAUUUCAUUCCGGAAGCCUACUAAGUUUUCGAAGCCCAUGUGACCAUUUCACCCUCCUUCUCUUCACCCAUUUCUCAUCAAAAAAAAAAGAAAAUCUAUCAUCUCUCAAAACCUUAUCCCUAACCCACAUCAAUAAAAGUUUUUCAAAAUAAAUUUGAUAUUUUUUUUUGAAAAACUUAUCAGAGAAUAGUAUUAUAUUUUUCAUAAAUUUUAAAUAAUAUAAAUUUAUAUUUAAGAGUAAAAUUAGUAUUAUAGUAUCCUAUAAUUUUUUUAGUUUAUACGAACCAAACAAUGAAAUGUGAAUAACUCAUUCAAAUUCUCAAUCCACAAAUGAACUAAAUGUCUUGGGGGAGUGGGCCAUUCCAAUUACCAUUCCAAUUCAUUCUCAUUUCAUUAUCUAUUUCAAUUCCACCCUCGAAGCAAACAAGCCCUGAUUGUUUGUCUUUUUUAUUCCAUUUUUUUUUUUGUUCUGUGCAUUGGGUACGUAUCUGAUUCUUUGUAUCCAAACCAUUUGUUUCCAAUUGAGAGUCUGAGACUCGAGUGUAGGCCCGACACCUUUUGAUGCUUUAUCACCAAAAAUUGUAGGGAAAACUUCAAAAACCUCCCCUGUGGUUUCGUGCAUUCUCACUUUGCUAUCAUGUGGUUUAAAACGUAUCAAUUUGCCUCCCUGUGGUUUCGUUUUUAUCUUUUUGUUAUCAAUUUUAUUAUUAUUUUUUUUUAAAAUCAGUGACAAAGUUAAAAUUAAAGGAUACUAAAGUGACUAUUCGAUAAAUAUAGAUGGUUAUCUGAAGUUUUUUGUAUAUAAUUUAACGAAAUAUUAACGAAAAAGCUUCCGAAAAGAUAAAAACGAAACCACAGGAGGGCAAAUUGAUACGUUUUAAACCACAGGGUAGCAAAGUGAGAAUGCACGAAACCACAGGGGAGGUUUUUGAAGUUUUUCCAAAAUUGUAUUGCUUUGCCACACUUGGCAAAAAAAAAAAAAAAUUAUACAAUAGAUCUUUGUUUCAAGGGUGGUCCAUUGCGGACUAAUCUAUUAUAUACUAAACAUACGAGCUAGGAAAUAUAAUUUUAGAGCAUGUCAUCUGCAAAAUUUAUGUGUUAAAAAUUAGAUUUUUUAUUUAAUGACUAUUUUCUAUGUUAUGAAAAGUGCUUGUUGUAAUGCUAGCAUUUGUUUUUUGUUUUGUUUUGUUUUUUUUGUUUUACUGCUUAACAUCUAAAGAAUGCCUUUUCCAAUCCAAUAAUGUUCAAUGUUAAUGAAUAUUUGCCAUUAUUUUAGGCUGACGUGGUGGACCGGAUCCAGUAACUAUUUUUCACCUCGAGAAAAAGAGCGAAUACGGUGGGUCCAGGAAAAAAGUGGAAUCCAGGAGAGGCGGUGGGCCCGGGUGGGAGCAAAAGGGAAAGAAAAAGUCCGACGCGGGAAAGAAAGGGCGUGAGUUACGGAAGGAAAGGCGUUGGGGACCAAUUUUGGAAAGGGUCAGAAUCAGCUCCCUCUCCCAAACGCCAAACGCAGGAAGACAGCAAAUCAAAAGACCACACGUAUGACACAUUUGUAUAUUUUGUCUCCAGAUCUCGAAUAAAUUUGAAUUAUUAUUACAAAAAAAUUACCCUCUAAUGCUAGCUUGGAUGCCACGUUUGUCCACAGAAUAUUUUACAUAAAUACCAUAAACAAUUUAUGCAGUUUUCUAAACUUUACUAAUGCCACGAAAUAUUUUCCUUGAAUACGAUAAUUAGUUACGAUAAUUAGUUUCUUAUAUUUUAAAUAUUGUUAGGUAGACGCGAUAAAAUUUUUAUUGUGUUUACAUAAGAUAAAUGAUAUUUAUCUGACCCUUUGGUGUCCUAUGUGGCAUCCACAUGAACAGUAUAAUGACUAAUUUUGUAUUUAAAAGUUUUGUGAAGUUAAUUAUAUAAUAAAUAAUUGUGAGCAGGUUAAAUGCGAAAAAACUAAUUCACUUCUUCUUCUUGUUGGAAAACUUAAAUGAGAUUUUGAUUCUCAAUCGAUACAGUUACAUUAUCCAUUCUCUUCUUUAAUUUUCCUCCGACAUCUAGUUGCAGAAUAAUUGAGACUUUCUUUUUUAGAAACUGAAAUUUUUCUGUUUUCCUUUGACAUUUUUCCAUUUUCCUCAACUUAAGGUGAUGGGUUAUUAUUGGGCAAUGAUGAUAAAGUAAGUGGAAGGAGCAACAAGAACUUCUCCACAUAGGAGAGCACAAUAUAUUUUAGGAGCCCGCGCAGUUUACAUAAAAUAAAAAUAAGGUUGACAAACUGACUUCAUAGAGGUCAGAUCUAAAGCCAACCUGGACGCUCAAAACCCAUUACUUACUUCACAGCCACUCCCAAAAUAAUAUGUUUUUUUUUUUUUUUUUUUUUUUUUUUUUUUUUUUUUUAAGAGAUACGUAGCACGCUACCCGCGUUGAUUAUUUCAUUUAGAAAUAAACUUAACUAGAAAUGUGAAUCAACUGGAAUUCGAACUUAGAUCUUGAGUACCAACCACCAAAUCCUUUGCCACUUGUUUUAAGGACGGUCGGUCUCCCAAAAUAAUAUGUUGAUCAAGUGCAUAAUGUAGGAGUGUGGCCUUUAAGUAAUUGGGCCUUCACAAAAGCACAAAUUCCAAGCCCAACUAUUUACUUAUGGGCCAUCAAUCCCCUAGUUGGGUUUGGACAUUUCCUCGAUGGGCCUUUUGGUACCUUUUAUCCUAACUAUAGGCCCUUUUGCACCUUGGGCCACCUUGUAGACCAUUUUUAUAUUGGGCCCAGUUCACACGAAUUUUGUGGUGGAGAUGAGAUCGCGCAAUGUUAAAGGGCCUCUAUAUUCCGCGAAAGCGAAAGCCCGAAUACGCCCUCCGUGUUUCCUCCUCCACCUCUUCCAUCCUCCUUUCUCUCUUUCUCCUGUAAUAUUCUACUGAAAAAAAAAAACACAAAAAACAAAAAAACUGCGCCAUUCGUAUGCGCUGUGGUCACCGAUAUUUUUUUAAAAAAAUUUUUUUCACACUCGCUUCCCCUUCCCCUCGCUUUCCUCAUCGUCUCCCUCGUCGCACCUCCGAGGUAAUUUGAUCUCUAUUUCUAAAGAUUUGGUAAAUUUUUUGACGAUUAUUUUGUUCCGUGAGGGGGCGAUUUUGGUGGUGAUUAUUCGGAGCUGAUUUAUAAUCUGUUUCCCUAUCAUCUCGGGUUUCGUGAUUUCGCCAGUUUUUAGAGUCGACGAUUGCAAAAUAGUGAUUUGGGCUUGGGUUUUAAGUGAAACUAGUGGGAAAGGGGAACUGCUAAACUUGCGUUUUCCUUUUUGUGCAAGUAUUCUAGUGAUAAAUGAAUUGGUAGAUCAUGAACUCUCUAUCUAAUGUGAAUUUUGGGUCUAAAUUUUUAGUUCGAUAGGUUAGUCUCCGAUUUCCAUGCUUUUUGAAAUAUCAUCUCUGAGUGACUUUGCCCUAAAUCUCUAAUAUUUGAUCGGUUCCGUUUAACAUUCACUGCAAAAUUCAGUUUAUAGGAGGGGAUGGUUAUUUAAUAUAAUAAUGGUUGGGUAUAAUGAUUUUAAGCAGUUAAUGAACUCAAAAAUGACUUUGCCGAAUUGAAAAGUUUAUCAGGAUUAGGGAGUAAUCUAUUUAUGGGUAAAGAUUAGAGAUAAACAGUGUCAAAAGUUCGGGACUAUCUAUAAACUUCAAUUUUGCUUGUUUAAAUGUGAACUCCAAACUAUUACUUUACCACCAAUUAGUUAUCAACUUUUGAUAAUUAAUGUCGUCAAUUUUGCAUCAUUUGAAUGUUGCAUAUAUUUGAAGCCUUUUUUUCAGCCUUUUUUUCCUGAUAAAAUGUUAUUAAUAAACUUUAUUACUACAUGCUCUUUUGCAGAGCACAGAGCCUUUUUUUUGCUUGCGAAAGCGUUCUCCUCUGUAAGAGAAAUAUGCGAACAAUCAUCAGCUUGUCUUGGGAAGUACCUCUGUGAUGAAUAUGUUAUCUUCUGGGGUUUUAUAAGUAGUAUAAAGCACUUUUCCUACCUUGUCCUAUUGGCUAUGAAGCAAUCAUGUUGACAUUAUAUGCUUCAUCAUCACUCUGGAGUCUCUGGAUUGAUCGAGAACCAAAACCAUUCGUGCAGAAUUUUCCGGCCAGCAUUACACAUGCUAACGUCACCAGUGGGAAAGUAGCUUGUAUUUCCUCAGAAAGCCAGUAUGUACUGAAGCUGCAUAGUGAAUUGUGUUCGAAGUAUAACUUUACCAGGUUAAGAACUACUCAUCGCAGCUGUAGUCCAAAAGAAAUACGCAUAAAAAAUUGGCUGGUAUUGUAUCAUCUCAUCCGUUCUAUUUUUUUGCCUCCGUACUAGAAGAAAAUGGAAAGGAAAUGCCUUUUCUUUACAUACAUGAUUCUGUCUUAUUUUAUUAUCUGUUAAUCCCUUGUAGCUCCGUUUUCAUAUUAAUGCGUCGUCAGAUGAGGACUUUCGCUCGUCCCGCAACAUAGCAAUCAGUCUCUUUAGGCGUUAUAGGAAUGCUAUUGAUCGUGGGGGUGGAGACAACCUAAAAGUAUGACUGAAACUCUAUAUCCAACAUAUUUAAUCUAUCUUCUUGAUGUCUUUUUUUUUUUUUUUUUAAUUUUCACUCUUGUUUGCUUCAUUCAUUUGUUUAAUUUCAUUAGGAAUUCAUCACUGCGGGGGUGAAUGCAUAUGCACUUGGUUGUACUGAUGAGGGUUUACGGAAAGAACUUAUGGAUCUGAAAGAUUCUGGUGUUGAAAUUGAAGGUCUACAAACCUAUGGAGGAGGCACCAGUCUGAAGUUCAAAGUCCUUUAUGAGGAGGUUAGAGACCUUUUGGUUGUGCAAUAAAGUUAUCAUGCAGUCUGAUGUGCUCUUCCUUGAGGAAAAAGUUGUUUAUUUAGUCAUCAUGUUUCCACUGUUUGAUUUCGGGUUUGGAAAAAGAAAAAAUAAAUUAGUUAACUCUAUUUUUGCUAUAAAUUUGCAUGGUUUGGACUAGUUUUAUUUUAUGACCAACAAGAGGUAAACAUGCCAAUUUAAUUGAAAAUUUGUUCUCUUUAAUGUAGGUUCACGAAUGCAUUCUAUGGUUGAGUAUUGUGUUCAUCACAAUCCUGUGUACGCCGCAACCAACUGUUGUUAGGUGGUCUUCUAUGUCACCAGUUUCAUCUGAAGUGUUGCAUCAGUGGAAAGGAUUCUGUGCUCUCAUAGCAAAUGCUUAUUAUAUGAGAGGGAUGGCAUGGUAGGUACUUCCUCACAUCAUAUUGCUGAACCAGUCAUGUAAUAAAGAAGUUAUUUAUUUACAUUUUCUUUCGGCACAAUUAUGGCCGGUGGAGUGCUUGUCAAGCUUUUGCCUCGUGUAGGUCCUGUUGUGCAUUCACAUACAUCGGUUGCAUUCUUUAUCUAAAUUUUUAUGGUGGAUAAAAUCAAAUGGAAAAUUUGUCUUAAAGAGUCUAAAACUUACAGAGGUGCGAAAUAUAACAACAUGAUGAUGUUUUGCUACUGGAAAUUACCUUGCAACUGUGAACUGAGCUGUAUGUUGCUGUAUCACUGCAUUUUAUUUUACAUGCUGUUGCAGGUUGCCAGUGAAGACUCUCCAGCUGGAACAGAUGGCUGUGAUGGCCAGUGUAGAGGAGCCAUCACUUGUAGCUUGUCGGAUGAGAUUAGUUUUCAACACGUUAGAGGUUUGUUGCACCAUCUUUAAUUCUUGCAAAUUUAAGAACAGAAAAUUUUUUGUUGGAACAUAUAUGUUAUGUAACCUAAAAUUUCUAUGAUAUAUUAAGUUUAAUUUUAUGGGCGUCACAGAUUCUUUCCAAAAGUCAUCUAAUGUGUUUCGUUGACUGCUGCAGGUAGUAAGCCCACAGUGGCCUAAAGUCUAGAGAAUCAGUAAAUAUCUUCUGCUAUGGUGUGUGAUAUUUAGAAGAGAAACCAAAUCUGACUGCAAAUUUUGUCAUUACUUGAAAAACAAACAUGCACGUUAAAAUAUUUUAAAUGUAAAUUUGAUGGUGUUAAAGGAUUAAUGUGUAUGCUAUGUAACUUCAAAGUAUGCUUUCUGGCUGGCACAUGUCAUUGUAGAAUGAUAAAUGAACUAUCUACUGGUAGUUUUCUCGCAUGGAAAGAUUCUUGAUGAUUAUACCUGUGAUUGGCAUUAGUAGACAUUUUAAUUCCAGCAGGAAGUUUUUCUUUUGUUAAGAUUGUCGACAUAAUCUAACACAACGGGCGGUCGAGGUCUUCUCAUGGUCGCGCCAUAUUAAAACUUCUCGUGAGCUUGCAAUUUUGGUUUCUUUAAUCAUGUAUUAUGUGAAAUGAACAUCAUCAGCAGGCGAAGGGCAUGUUAAUUUUGAUGUGCAAUAGAAUAAAAUAUUUUUUUUGAGAAAAAGAUAGCAUCUUAUCUGUUUCAUUUAAUAAAUUUAACAAUAUAGAAUGAAACAAUAAGGAGCUUAAAAAGGCGAAAAAUUGAAAGAAAAAAAAACUAAAAGAAACAUGAGAAGUGGAUAUAAUGUCAAAAACAAAGAAUCUAACAGCCGCCGAAGUCGCCCCCAGCUUUAGGGAAAUGGAAUUACUAUCCUAAACACUAUUUAUUUUUAUUAUUAAUCUAAAUGAAGCUAUAAUGUUUUUUGUCACGUGGCAAAAAAUUCUUCAUCCUCAUAAUAAUAAUAAUAUAUAAUAUAAUAUAAUAAUUUAUUAAUCCCUUUCUUUUUCAAACUAUAUGAUUCAUUAAUGUUUCAUCAAUUAAUUCUAUAUUAAUAUUUUAUUUAUUAACUAUAACGUUUCAUCUAUUAAUUCUAUUUUUUUUUUUUUGUAAUAACUCUCUCUUCCCCACCCCCUCCUCUCUCCUCCCAUCUAUAUGUUCUUGAACGCAUAGCAUAUGAUUCAUUAAUAUUUCAUCAAUUAUUUGUAUAUUAAUGUUUUAUUAAUUAAUGAUAAUUAUAAUCAUAAUUGAUUACUAGACCAACUUUGAAUAAGUCUUUGCCUUUUCGUAUGUUGCCACCAUUUCAUUUUUUCUUUUUUUCAUUUUGCUAAUUUUAUUAUGAAAUUUUAAAAUAUAUUUAUCUAAUAUAUAAAAUAAUUAGAUUUUAAAUUUAGGCUCUCAGUAUCAAUCAUUACAAGAUUAAUUCUAUUUGAAUGUUCUUGCGCCGAUCCUUCUCUACACAUAUCGUCUUUCCAAUCUCCAUACAACCGAUUCCAUCCGUGAGUAUUUUUUUUUUUCGAAUAUAACAAUUUUUUAUAUAGAUUUGAGUGAUUUGGUGAGAAUUAGCAAUAUUUUGAAGUUAAUUAGAAUUUUUUUGGUUCAAUUUGAGCAAUUUAACAUAAAUAGGUAAUAUUUUGAAAUGCUAUAUGUUAUAGAAAUGCUAUAUGUUGCUUGCACAAUUAUUGUUCGUACUACAUUACACAUUUCAAACUAAAUUAAUGAACAAUCUAUAUUGCAUAUAUUAGUAUAUUUCUAUAUACUCUAAUUAUGAUUUACUUAAAAUAUUUUUAUUUCUGUUGCAUCGAUUGCUAUAUUAUUGUCUAUAUUGUACCUUUUUUGACAUAUUAAUAUUAUAUUUAGUUAUAUUAAUAUUUUAUUAUUUAUAAAUUUUUUACUUUAAUAGUAACUAUCAACCGCAUCGCGCGGGUAUCUACACUAGUAUAAAUAAAUCCAUGUUGCUUAGGGAAAUGGAGUUACUAUUAUAAACACCAUAUAGGUAAAUCCAUGUUGCUGAAAUUUAAAGCCUAUAAUAUUUUGUACAUAAACUUAUUAUAUAGUGUAAUUAUAAUACACGAUAUGGGAUGCGGUUAGGGCUAAUACACUAUGCGGGAUGUGGUUGGGGCCAGGAUGCCACUCCCUCACUCGUCGAAGCGGUGCGGUUGGGGCGGUUCGCAGCGGGUCGGGUGGUUGGUGCCACAUCCCGACUCACCAUGCGGUUGGGUCAGUUGGCAGCGAGUGGGGCACUUCUCUCCAAAGAAUGUUGAGCUUAGAAAAAGUUAUAAUAUAUUACUUUCUAAUUAGUUACGUAAAUUGGUUUUUCUUGGUUAUUAUUCCCAUGGCCAAGAUAAGCCUGAUGGUGUUGUGGAAAUUGAACUUGGAUACCUAUUAUUUUUGCUAUGACAUGCGUACAAUACUUUCUACUCACGAAUACAUCUUCAAAGAUAAACACAUGCACAACACUCUCCUCCUACCAAGAAUCCAUAUGAAAAUUUAAGAAAUGCCUUUAAUUGACUAGUCAGAAUUUUUUAAUUUAUGAAAUAUGAACAAAUAGCCCACGCAUCUUUCAAUAUUCUCCUCUUUUCGUAAUUAACAAAAAGGUUUGCCUUUUAAUUAAUAUUAUUAAUUAUUAAUUAUUAAUAUUAAUAUUAGAGAGAUGGUCUUCAUAUUGAUGCAGAAACACAGCUUAGUAAACUGGAGAAAAAGCACAUUUUUCUUUGCUCCAUGAGAAAUAACUAAUUUACUAUAGAAAUGCAUGGAAACUAAAUCACACAACAUAAGAGAUAAUCUAAUCAUGUCCAAUCCGGAACAGGCCCAGAUUUCAGAGAGCAAACUGGGUCCGAAGCAUGACCCAGUCGGACCAAAUUGUAAACUAAAUUUCAAUUAUUUUCUCAAACAAAUUGCAUUGAAACAAAUUUUCAAUUCAAAGUAUUCCCUCAAAAGAAUCGAAACAAAAAUAUUUUAAUCAUACAGGUACUUCGCAUAUCUUUUUUAUAAUAAGCUAUUUAAAAUUAAAGUAUUAUGAUUUUCAAACUACUAGCAAGAAAUCAAGUCGCCAAAAAUGAUCUAAGACCAUAAUACACCCCACAUGACUCCUAGCAUAGACAAACUGGUUUAUGCAUAAAUAAAUAAAUAAAUAGUUACUGCCUCACACCUAAUAUAUGUAUAAAUAAAUAAAUAGUUAUUGCCUUUGUCCCCUAAUGGCCGAUCACGCUAACGGAAAACCAGACUAGCACUCGUAGAGAUUCCUUCCGUAAGCUGCUUUAAAAGAACAGAAGUUUGCUGUUCCGUCCACUGUUUAGAAUAUUUAUAAUACAGCAUUUUCCACCGAGGCGUAGCAAACAGAUCAUCAUGAUUAAAUGUCAUCGACCUGAGGUCUACAGCUUUCGCCAACAACAGCCGAGCGAAGGCCAUCUCGCCACAAUACCCUUCGAAAUUAUACAUCUUCACCUCCACCAAAUAAUGGUGCACAAAAUCAGAAGGCUUCCAUGGUUUGAUUGUGGAUUUAUAUUUUUAUUAGUAACAUAAAUUAAUUAUUGUUAGAAAUGUAUAAUACUAAUAUGUAAAAAAUGAUAAUAGCUUAUUUCUAAUAGACUCUUUUUUUCGGAUGAUAAAAUUUUUUUUUUAUAUUUUUUAAUCUCACUAUCAUGGAUAUUCAACUUGAAAUUGACGAUUUUGUUUCCAAUCGCCAACUUUUGAAUUUUUUUAACCUCAUUUCUCAACCGAACGAAUAAAAAAUAAAUUUUAUUAACUACCAUAAAGCCAGAAUAUGGGUAACUACAUACUAUUCCAGUACUACCAUAAAGCCUUAGAGACUAUUGACCGGGAUCGUCAGUGCCACUAUACUAAGGAAAAAAAAAAUUUUAAUGAAAAAAAAAUAAAAGAAGAAAAGAACAAAACUAGAGUUGGCUCCAUCCUUUGUUCCCGUACCUGUAAAUAUCUGCAUAUACAAAUAUUUUGAGAAAAAAAUAUAAAUAAAAAUUUGGAAAAAAAAUCUUACCAGACACCGGCGAGCCUUUCCUUCGUUGAAGCAUCAAACUAAAAUACAAAAAAAAACAUAAAAUAAAUAAAUUUAUAAUUUAAUAUUAAAAAUUAUAAUACUAAUAUAUAUAUAAAGAAAAUAAUACUUACUUCUAAUCCAUUUUUUAUCCCGAAGCGGUAAAUUUUUUUUGAUUUCUUUUAAUCACAGCAUCAAGAAUAUGUAACUUGACAUUACAUAUGAUUAUGUUCUUAGCCAGCAUUUUUUUAACUUUUUUAAUCUCCUUGAGCGAGCGAACAAACACGAUUUCUUUAGUACCUGUAAAAAAAAAUCUAAAAUUAAUAAGAUUUUAAAUUAAUAAAAUUUUAAAAUAUAAUAAAAGUAAUUACCGCCUUCCAUUACUGGUAGCCUUUUUAUUCCUCUAAAGAUUUUCGCCAAUCGAGCUAGAGUCUCCUCAGCAAACUAAAAAAAAAAUUAAUAAUAAAAAUUUUAAAAAAUAUAUUAUUAAUACUAAAAUUUUAAUAUAAAUUAAAAAUUUUAAAUUCAUUUUUCUUACCUGAAAUUGCUUGUUCCAUCCGUACAGAUAAAUCUUUUUUUGAAGAAUCAAUGUUAUCGUGGCCGGGAUCAGGAUCACAACUCUAUUCAUUAAUAUUUUAUUAUUUAUAAAUUUUUUACUUUAACAGUAACUAUCCACCGCAUCGCGCGGGUAUCUAAACUAGUAUAAAUAAAUCCAUGUUGCUUAGAGAAAUGGAGUUACUAUUCUAAACACCAUAUAGGUAAAUCCAUGUUGCUGGAAUUUAAAGCCUAUAAUAUUUUGUACAUAAACCUAUUAUAUAGUGUAAUUUUUUAUUUAACUCACAGUUUGAUUGUGGAUUUAUAUUUUUAUUAGUAACAUAAAUUAAUUAUUGUUAGAAAUGUAUAAUACUAAUAUGUAAAAAAUGAUAAUAGCUUAUUUCUAAUAGACUCUUUUUUUCGGAUGAUAAAAUUUUUUUUUUAUAUUUUUUAAUCUCACUAUCAUGGAUAUUCAACUUGAAAUUGACGAUUUUGUUUCCAAUCGCCAACUUUUGAAUUUUUUUAACCUCAUUUCUCAACCGAACGAAUAAAAAAUAAAUUUUAUUAACUACCAUAAAGCCAGAAUAUGGGUAACUACAUACUAUUCCAGUACUACCAUAAAGCCUUAGAGACUAUUGACCGGGAUCGUCAGUGCCACUAUACUAAGGAAAAAAAAAAUUUUAAUGAAAAAAAAAUAAAAGAAGAAAAGAACAAAACUAGAGUUGGCUCCAUCCUUUGUUCCCGUACCUGUAAAUAUCUGCAUAUACAAAUAUUUUGAGAAAAAAAUAUAAAUAAAAAUUUGGAAAAAAAAUCUUACCAGACACCGGCGAGCCUUUCCUUCGUUGAAGCAUCAAACUAAAAUACAAAAAAAAACAUAAAAUAAAUAAAUUUAUAAUUUAAUAUUAAAAAUUAUAAUACUAAUAUAUAUAUAAAGAAAAUAAUACUUACUUCUAAUCCAUUUUUUAUCCCGAAGCGGUAAAUUUUUUUUGAUUUCUUUUAAUCACAGCAUCAAGAAUAUGUAACUUGACAUUACAUAUGAUUAUGUUCUUAGCCAGCAUUUUUUUAACUUUUUUAAUCUCCUUGAGCGAGCGAACAAACACGAUUUCUUUAGUACCUGUAAAAAAAAAUCUAAAAUUAAUAAGAUUUUAAAUUAAUAAAAUUUUAAAAUAUAAUAAAAGUAAUUACCGCCUUCCAUUACUGGUAGCCUUUUUAUUCCUCUAAAGAUUUUCGCCAAUCGAGCUAGAGUCUCCUCAGCAAACUAAAAAAAAAAUUAAUAAUAAAAAUUUUAAAAAAUAUAUUAUUAAUACUAAAAUUUUAAUAUAAAUUAAAAAUUUUAAAUUCAUUUUUCUUACCUGAAAUUGCUUGUUCCAUCCGUACAGAUAAAUCUUUUUUUGAAGAAUCAAUGUUAUCGUGGCCGGGAUCAGGAUCACAACUCUAUUCAUUAAUAUUUUAUUAUUUAUAAAUUUUUUACUUUAACAGUAACUAUCCACCGCAUCGCGCGGGUAUCUAAACUAGUAUAAAUAAAUCCAUGUUGCUUAGAGAAAUGGAGUUACUAUUCUAAACACCAUAUAGGUAAAUCCAUGUUGCUGGAAUUUAAAGCCUAAAAUAUUUUGUACAUAAACCUAUUAUAUAGUGUAAUUUUUUAUUUAACUCACAGUUUGAUUGUGGAUUUAUAUUUUUAUUAGUAACAUAAAUUAAUUAUUGUUAGAAAUGUAUAAUACUAAUAUGUAAAAAAUGAUAAUAGCUUAUUUCUAAUAGACUCUUUUUUUCGGAUGAUAAAAAUUUUUUUUUAUAUUUUUUAAUCUCACUAUCAUGGAUAUUCAACUUGAAAUUGACGAUUUUGUUUCCAAUCGCCAACUUUUGAAUUUUUUUAACCUCAUUUCUCAACCGAACGAAUAAAAAACAAAUUUUAUUGACUACCAUAAAGCCAGAAUAUGGGUAACUACAUACUAUUCCAGGACUACCAUAAAGCCUUGGGGACUAUUGCCCGGGGUCGUCAGUGUCACUAUACUAAGGAAAAAAAAAAUUUAAAUGGAAAAAAAUAAAAGAAGAAACGAACAAAACUAGAGUUGGCUCCAUCCUUUGUUCCCGUACCUGUAAAUAUCUGCAUAUACAAAUAUUUUAAGAAAAAAAUAUAAAUAAAAAUUUGGAAAAAAAAUCUUACCAGACACCGGCGAGCCUUUCCUUCGUUGAAGCAUCAAACUAAAAUACAAAAAAAAACAUAAAAUAAAUAAAUUUAUAAUUUAAUAUUAAAAAUUAUAAUACUAAUAUAUAUAUAAAAAAAUAAUACUUACUUCUAAUCCAUUUUUCAUCCCGAAGCGGUAAAUUUUUUUUGAUUUCUUUUAAUCACAGCAUCAAGAAUAUGUAACUUGACAUUACAUAUGAUUAUGUUCUUAGCCAGCAUUUUUUUAACUUUUUUAAUCUCCUUGAGCGAGCGAACAAACACGAUUUCUUUAGUACCUGUAAAAAAAAAUCUAAAAUUAAUAAGAUUUUAAAUUAAUAAAAUUUUAAAAUAUAAUAAAAGUAAUUACCGCCUUCCAUCACUGGUAGCCCUUUUAUUCCUCUAAAGAUUUUCGCCAAUCGAGUUAGAGUCUCCUCAGCAAACUAAAAAAAAUAUUAAUAAUAAAAAUUUUAAAAAAUAUAUUAUUAAUACUAAAAUUUUAAUAUAAAUUAAAAAUUUUAAAUUCAUUUUUCUUACCUGAAAUUGCUUGUUCCAUCCGUACAUAUAAAUCUUUUUUUGAAGAAUCAAUGUUAUCGUGGCCGGGAUCAGGAUCACAACUCUAUUCAUUAAUAUUUUAUUAUUUAUUAAUUUUUUACUUUAACAGUAACUAUCCACCGCAUCGCGCGGGUAUCUACACUAGUAUAAAUAAAUCCAUGUUGCUUAGGGAAAUGUAGUUACUAUUCUAAACACCAUAUAGGUAAAUCCAUGUUGCUGGAAUUUAAAGCCUAUAAUAUUUUGUACAUAAACUUAUUAUAUAGUGUAAUUUUUUAUUUAACUCACAGUUUGAUUGUGGAUUUAUAUUUUUAUUAGUAACAUAAAUUAAUUAUUGUUAGAAAUGUAUAAUACUAAUAUGUAAAAAAUGAUAAUAGCUUAUUUCUAAUAGACUCCUUUUUUUCAGUUGAUAAAUUUUUUUUUUUAUAUUUUUUAAUCUCACCAUCAUGGAUAUUCAACUUGAAAUUGACGAUUUUGUUUCCAAUCGCCAACUUUUGAACUUUUUUAACGUCAUUUCUCGACCGAACGAAUUGACCGAAUGAAUAUAAUCUCUUUCGUGCCUACAAAACAAAUCAAAAAUUAUUAUAACUUUAUAAUAAAUUUUUAAAAAUAAAUAAAAUUUAUUAUCAUUUUCAAUAACUACUGUUUAUUUAUUUUUGCAAAAAUUUUUAACAAUCUCCUUACCAUCUUUUCCGCAAGCUAAAAUAAAAUAUAUCAUUAGUAACUUAAAUUUUAAUAUAAAUUAAAAUUUUAAAUUUAUAAAUUUUUCUUUGGAGCGCUAACGUUACAGUACUCGAAAUGUCGAUAACAAUCCUACGCUGGAUGCGAUUUGGAGGAUUGGUGACGAGUGGGGCGAGGUUGGGUAUGCGGGGUUAGGGUGUCACUACUUAAAUAUGUUGAACUAGAAAUUCGCGAUAUAAUUUAUUUAUGAAAAAAGUUAUAUUUUUAAUUAGUUAUGUAAAUUAGUUUUUGUUAGGAAUAAUAAUAAUUUUUAUCACUAAUAUAUAUUUAUUUUUAUUAAAAACAUAUAAUUUUUUAUUUAACUUAUAAUUUCAUUGUGGAUGCUGUUAUCGGCGAAUGGGGUGCUGUUGGGGCGGUUAUUGGCGGUUAUUGGCGGGUGCUGUUAUCGGCGAGUGUGGUGUUGUUGGGGCGGUUAUCGGUUGUGGCCAUGCGGGCCGAUGUGGUUGGGACGGACUACUUUGGAACCAAUCCGAAGACAAUUAAUUUUCGGGGGUGGUUUGGACGGUUGGCGGUGACUGGGAUGGUUGAUGCCACUCCACCACUCGCCGAUGUGGUUGGCGGCAAGUGGGGCUGUUGGGACCACUACUUAAAUAUGUUGAACUAGAAAUUUGCGAUAUUAUUUCUUUAUAAAAAAAGUUAAUUUUUUAAUUAGUUAUGUAAAUUAGUUUUUGUUAGCAAUGAUAAUAAUUUUUGUUACUAAUAUAUAUUUAUUUUUAUUAAAAAAUAUAUAAUUUUUUAUUUAACUUAUAGUUUCAUUGUGGAUGCUUUUAUUAGUAACAUAAAUUAUUAGGGCGGUUAUUGGCGGGUGCUGUUAUCGGCGAGUGGGUGCUGUUGGGCGGUUAUUGGCAAGUGGGGGCGAGUAGGGUGCUGUUGGGCGGUUAUUGGCGAGUGGGUGCUGUUCGGGCGGUUAUCGGAGUGGGGCGUUUGUGGCCAUGCAGGCCGAUGUGGUUGGGGCGAACUGCUUUGCAACCAAUCCGAAGCCAAUUAAUUUUCGGGUCGAGUCCUAAGUCCCGAAUCCGAGUCGAGUCCGAGUCCGUAACCCGACUUCCAAAUCAGGUCGGAGUCUCCUCUGCCUUAGGUCUCUCCCAAGCUUGGGCGCAACCGAAAUUGUCGAGCCCUUUUUAAGCGGCAAUUGGUUUAUGUUAUCGUGCGUGGAUCGAGGCUCACAAUUUAUUCUUAAGUAUUUUAUUAUUAUUUUGGUUUUGCAUUUAACAGUAACUACACUCGCAUUCGCAAGGCGCGAGUAUCUACACUGUAUAUUAAAUCCAUGUUGCUUAGGAAUAUGUUUACUAUUUAAAACCCAUAUAGCGUUAAUAUCAUGGUUGCCCUUGGAAUUUAUAAGCCUAUAUAAUAUGUUAUAAAUAUUUAUUAUUAUUAGUGUAAGUGUUUUAUUUAACUCACGUUUUUGAUUGGUGGAUGUUAUAUGUUUAUAGUAACAUAAUGAAUUAUUGUUAGAAAUUUAUAAUACUAAUAUGUAAAAAUGAUAAUAGCUUAAAAUCUUAGAACUGUCGCUUUUUUCUAGUGAUGAUAAUUUGUUUUUUUAGAUUUUUAUCUCACCAUCAUGGUUAUUAACUUGUAAUUGAACGCAUUUUGUUUCCAAUCGCUCAACUUUUGAACUUUUUUAUAGUCAUUCUCGACCCCCGACGGAUUGACCGAAUGAAGUAUAAUCGCUUCGUGACUAAAAACAAAUCAAAAAUUAUUUAUAACUUAUAGAAUAAUUGUUAAAAAUAAAUAAAAUUUAGUAUAUUGUCAUAUUAGCUGAUAUUAUUUUUGCAAAAUUUUUAACAAUCUCGCUUACAUCUUUUCCGCAGAGCUAAAAUAAAAUAUUCAUUAGUAACUUAUUUUAAUAUAAAUUAAAUUUUAAAUUUAUAAAUUUUUCUAUUUUUGGAGCGGUAACGUUACAGUACUCGGAAUGUUGAUAACAAUCGCUACGCUGGAUGAGAUUGGAGGAUUGGUGACGAAGUGGAGGGCCGAAGGUUGGGUAGCGGGUUAGGGUGUCACUACUUAAAUAAAUGUUGAACUAGAAAGGUCGCGAAUGACAUAAUUUAUUGGAUGAAAAAAGUCUUAUUUUUAAUUAGCUUAUGUAAUAUGUUUUGUUAGGAAUAUAUAAUUUUUCACUAAUAUAUAUUUAUUUUUUUAAAAACCAUAUAUUUUUUAUUGUAACUUAUAAUUUCAUUGGUGGAUGCUGUUAUCGGCGAAUGGGGUGCUGUUGGGGCGUUAUUGGCGGUUAUUAGGCGAGGUGUGUUAUACGGCGAGUGUGGUGUUGUUGGGGCGGUGUAUCGGUUGUGGCCGAUGCGGGCCGAUAGAUGUGGUUGGGACGGACUACUUUGAGACCAAUCCGAAGACAAUUAUUCGGCGGUGUGCGGUGGUGUUUGGACGGUUGGCGAGUGAUGGAUGGUUGACCAUCCACAUCGCCGAUGUGAGUUGGCGGCAAGUGGGCUGUUGGGACAUACUUAAAUAGGUUGAACUGAAAUUUGCGAUAUUAUUUCUUUAUAAAAAGUUAAUUUAGUUUUAUUAGUUAUGUAAUUUAGUUUUGUUGAGCAAUGAUAAUAAUUUUUUGUUACUAAUAUAUAUUAUUUUUAUUAAAAAUAUAGUAAUUUUUUAUUUAAUUAUAGUUUCCAUUGUGGUGCUUUUAUUAGUAACUAAAUAUUAGGGCGGUUUGCGGGUGCUGUUAUCGCGCGGAGUGGGUAGCUGUUGGGCGGUUUAUUGGCAACAGACUGGAGGGGCGAGUAGGGUGCUGUUGGGCGUAGUUAAUUGGCGGUGGGUGCCUGUUCGGGCGGUUAUCGGAGUGGGGUGUUGGGCGGUAUUGGCGGGUGCUGGUUAUCGCCGAGUGAGGUGUUGUUUGGAGGUUAUUGGUGAGUGGGCUGCUUUAGGGCAGUUAUGAGGCACAGGCCGGCCUACAAAGUAUUUAUUUUUUUUAAUUUUUAAAAAAAUUUAGUAUGAAUUUAAAAAUAUAAAUNNNNNNNNNNNNNNNNNNNNNNNNNCUUAUCGCGCGAGGGUACGUUGUGGGGCGGUUCUCGCGCAGAGUGGAAUGUUGCCUGUUGGGCGGCUUAUUGGCGGGGCCACGUGCUGUUAUCGGCGAGUGAGGUGCUGUUGACGUAUAUGGUGAGUGGGUAUGCCCUGCCCUUAACAGUUAUCGGCACAGGCCGGCCGUACAAAGUAUUAUUUUUAAAAUUCUUUUAAAAAAAUAUUAGUAUGAAAUUAAAAAUCAUAAAUAAUAAAUAUUUUAUUUAACAAUUAUAUUUUGAUUAAAAUAUUAAAAAAAAAAUUAUAAAAAGAAUUAUACUAAAGUAAAAUAUUUAAUUUUUAUAAAAAUAGAAUAAAUUUGUAUUAGUUAUUUAAAAAAAUAUUAUAUACUUGUGGUCCAUUGGACCAAAAAUCCUCCUCCCGGGAGGAGGCCCCUCCUCCCCAAAGCCUCAGACCCCAUGGUUGCUUGGCAUUGGUUGCGGGGCCGGGCUGGCACCUGCCGCUGCGCACGGCCAACGCCGCGUCGCGGUCGUCGGGCGUUCGACUACCCUCGCCCGGCACGGCCCAGGCCAAGUUCGGCCGCCAGGCUGCGUCGCCAGGCUAAAAAUACUGUGAGCCCAGCACGGCCCAGCGCUUCGGGCCGGCCCGACCCGCCGCACGGAUCGCCUACAGUACACGUCGCUGUGCGUGCCGGAUUUGCUGCCUGGCCCGGCGAGCCGUGGUCGGCCGCCGGCCGGCCACGCUACCGUCCGCCCGUUUUACAUCCCACCUCUAGUGAUUUGGGUGCUCUCUCGAAUUGGGUCAAUAGACGAACCUAACCGCAUUGGGUCGCAACCGAAAUUGUCCAAGCCCUUUUUAAGCGCAAUUGGAUCAGUUAUCGCGCGAGUAGGUACGGUUGCGGCACUUUCUAUCGGGUGGGUGCUUUGCAGCGCGCGCCGGCUAUUGCGCGAGUAGGGUGUUUAUCGGCCGGUUAUCGAAGUGGCGGUUGUGGCCAUGCGGGCCGAUGUGGUUGCGGAAUGAACUGCUCGCAAUCAAUCGAAGCCAAAUUAUUUUCCGGUCGAGUUCUAUAGUCCUGAACCGCAGUCGAGUCGAGUCCGUACCCGACUUCCAGAUCGAGUCGCGAGCAAACCGGUAAUAGCGGCGGGCCACAGUCAACAAAAAAGAAAAAAUGCGGCAACGCUAGUUGGUGGUGGAGUGGGGGAGGUAAGAGUGGCCCAGAGGGGUGGUAAGGGGAUCCUCUGACCCCGCGUUGUCGCUUUCUCAUUCGCUGGGGGAGCCCGGCUAGGACUUACAUAGUACAUACGCUCGAGGGUUACCCGAGGAGAGGUGGGGGCAACUUUGAAAGCCCACGCUAAAGAGAAAAAGCCUAAAUUAAAAAAAAAAAAAAAUUUAUUUAUCGAGCUGAUGACCAAAAAAAAAAACAAUAACUGAAUUUACGUAAACAAAAGGUUUAUUUAAUUAAAAAAAAUAAAAAGAGAAUCGGAGCGAGAAUAAUGAGGUCAUCAAGCCAGCCUUAUCUCCGAUUCAGAUCGCCAACACUUAUCAUGAUUAAAUAAUCAACGACUGAUUUCUGUCGGCAGUACAGGAUAUGUUUACAUCUCUGAAAGAAACCAAAAAUGCCACGAGCAAAGACUCUUAAUUUUAGACUAUUCUCAAACGCCGAUCCCUACUUUGUUAUUUUUUUAUUAAUGCGUCACAUAAAAAAUAUCUUCUCAAUAAAUAUUUUUAUUUAAAUUAAUAUUUUGAUUAAAAUAUUAAAAAAUUAUAAAAAUAAUUAUACUAAAGUAAAUAUUUAUUUUUUUAAAAAAAUAAAUAAAUUUGUAUUAUUUAUUUUAAAUAAAUAUAUUAUAGACUUUUGGUCCAAUGCACCAAAAAGUCUUUGGUCCAUUGGACCAAAAGUCCUCCUCAGACCUUGGGAGGAGAGCUCCUGGGGAGGGCCGAGCUCUUCUCCCCAGGAGCUCAGAUCCCAUGGCCCAAGGCAAUUGCCUUCGGCCAUGGGGUGCGGGCCGGGCUGGCCCGGCUGGCACGGCCCAAGCCGGCCAUGUCGUGCCGGGCCGCCCGCCUACCCUCGACCCGGUACGGCCCAGGCCCGAUUCGGCCCGUCGGACUUCAAUACUGUGGCCCAGCACGGCCCAGGGCUUCGGGCCGGCCCGGCCCUGCACGGGUGCUACAGUACACGUGCCGUGCUGUGGCCCGGCCCGAGGCAGUGCCGGGCCGGGCGGCCUACGUACCGUCCGGCCCGUUUUACAUCCCUACCUCUGUGUUGGGUCUCUCUCGAAUUGGGUCAAAUAACGAGCCUAAUCUCGCUUGGGCGCAACUGAAAUUGUCAAGCCCUUUUUAAGCCGCAAUUGGUCUGGUUAUCGACGAGUAGGGUACGGUUGGGGCUGUUAUCGGCGUGGGGUGUUGUUGAGGCGCGCGGCUAUUGGCGAGUGGGGUGUUGUUUGGGGAGUGGGGCGGUUGUGGCCAUGCGGGCUGAUGUGGUUGGGAUGAACUGCUUCGCAAUCAAUCUGAAGCCAAUUAAUUUUCGGGUCGAGUUCUAAGUCCCGAAUCCGAGUCGAGUCCGAGGCCGUAACCCGACUUCCAGAUCGAGUCGGAGUCAACCCGGUAAUAGGGCGUGGGCCCCACCAGUCAACAAAAAAGAAAAAAUGGGAAACACUGACAGGGUGGGGUGGAAAGGUCCCUCUGACCCCCGCAUUGUCGCUUUCUCAUUCGCUUGGAGCCCGGCUAGGACUACAUGGUACAUACGCUCGAGGGUUACACCAGGAGAGGUGGGGGGCAACUUUGACAAAGCCGCUAAAGAGAAAAAGCUAAAUUAAAAAAAAAUAUUCGAAGCUGAGGACGCAAAGAAAAAAAAACAAUUAACUAAUUUACGUAAACAAAAAGGUUUAUUUAAUUAAAAAAAAAUAAAAAGAGAAUCGGAGGGAGAAUAAUGAGGUCGUCAAGCAGCUUAAUCUCCGUUCAGAUCGCACACCUUAUCCUGAUUAAAUAAUCGACGACUGAAAUUUCCUAUCGGAAGUACAAGAUACUGUUGUACUAUCUCUGAAAGGAACCAAAAAUGCACGAAGACUCCUUAAUUUUAGACUAUUCUCAAACGCCGAUCCCUACUUUGUUUGUUUUUUUUAUUAAUUAUCACUUAAUAAUAAAUAAAACUUAAAUAAUUAAUUAGUAGAUUCUAAGUAUCAAAAUAAUUAUUAUAUUUGACAGAGUUUUUUGAGUAAUGCUCGUGGUACACCCUGAUCAGGGUGUACAAGAUGAUGCUGCCCAUCAGUCACAUCAUAUAAUUGAUGGGCAAUAUCUCAUCCUUGAAUAUAUUGGUGUAUAUUGUACACCUCGAUCAGAAUAUACAAGAAGCAUUUCUUUUUCUAAACUAGAAUGUCCUCCGAAUUUAAUCUCUUUAUCUAUAAUCUAUAAUUUAUAACAUCUUUUAUAACACUAAUGAAAGAAGAGCCCGCGAAUUUUGGAGCCUUGGUGGCCCCCCCCCACCUUAUUUUUUUAAUUAUUUUUAACUCUCUCACUCUCACUCUCUCUCUCUCUCUCUCUCUCACUCUUUUACUUUUUUUUUAAAAUUUUAUUUCAUUGAACACUCUCACUCCCUCUCUCUUUCUUAUAUUUUUUUAUUUUUUUCAACUUUUUUUAUUUUUAUUUAUACUAAGUAUAAAAUUUUAUCGUAUAGAUAAUUUUAUUUUUUAAUAAUUAAUAUACUAAAUAAAUAUAAAAUUUUAUUAUAUGAAUAAAUAUUAUUUUUUAAUAGUUAAGAUAACAAAUUUAGUUGUUUCUAUAAUUUAUUCUUAUAUUUUUAUUACAGAAUAUUUAGGCUGCGUUUGGUUCGGGUAUAAGUAAGAAUUGCUAGUUUCAGGGAUAGGUACAAGUUCAGGUAUAAGCAGGAACUAGACCAAUUUUGCGUUUGGAUGAAAAUUGGGUUGUUCCUAGGAAUAAGAUAAAUAGUGUUUGGAUGGUUAGAUUGGAACAAGAGGAAUAAGAAUUAUAAUUUGAAAUUAAAUUUGUAUUAUGUAAUUAAUUAACAUCCAAAUAUUGCUUAAAAAUAAAUAAUAAUUUAAUUAUUAAUAUUUAAUUAUAAAUAAUAAAUUAAUAAUAUUGAAUACCUAAUUAAUUAUAAUAAUAAUUGAUAAUUAUUAAUAAAAAAUAAUAAUUAUUAAUUAUUAUUAUUAAUUAAUUAUUAAUAAUAAAUUAAUAAUAAUAUCGAUUAUCUAAUUUUUAUUAAUAAUAACAUUGAUUAUCUAAUUAUUAUAAUUAUUAUUAAUAUUUAUUAAUAAUAAAUUAGGAGUAAUAAAUUAAUAUAAUUAUUAUCUAGUUAUUAAUAAUUAAUUAUAAAUAAUAAAUUAAUAAUAAUAUCGAUUAUCUAAAUUAUUAAGGAUAAUAAUUAUUAAUAAUUAUUAAUAAAUAAUAAUAAUUAUUAUUAAUUAUCAUUAAUUAAUUAUAAAUAAUAAAUUAAUAAUAAUAGCGAUUGUCUAAUUAAUAAUUAUUAAUAAUUAAUUAUAAAUAAUAAAUUAAUAAUAAAUCGAUUAUCUAAUUAUUAAGGAUAGUAAUUAUUAAUAAAUAAUAAUAAAAUAUUAUUAAUUAUUAAUAAUUAAUUAUCAAUAAUAAAUUAAUUAUAAUAAUUAUCUAAUUAUUAUCAAUGAAUUACAAAUAAUAAAUUAAUUAAUUACUUAAUUAUUAAAAUAAUAAAUAAUAAUUUAAAUAUAUUAAUUAGAUUAAUUAAUAAUUUACUAUCAUUAAAAUUAAAUUUAGAUUUUAAUUAAUCUUGUUCUCAUCAGGGAACAAGCUUAUUCCAGUAAAAAGGUGGAACAGCAGUUCCAGCCUUAUACCGGCUUGUUCUUAAAAUCCUGAAAUUACUGUUCCCGAGCAACAAAUAUUGCGUUUGGGAACAAAGGGGGUAACCAAAGGGGGGUUACCCUUACCCCCUUUGUUCCCCAACCAAACACUACCUUAGUUAAUUUUGGUUAAUUUUAAAAAAAAGUUUUUUCUAAAUAAAUACUCUCUCAAGUACGACUCGGAUUAUUAUUAUUAUUUAGUUAAUUUUUAAAAAAGGUUUUUCUAAAUACACCGCUUCCCCUCGCAGCUUACAUUUCAGAUUUUUUUUUUUAUUUUUUUUAAAUUGUAAUCUUUCUAGGGUUUCCGCCCACGACCUGCCCCUCUUCCACUUUCUCUGAAACCCUAAUCCUUCCAAAAACCCUGGUAGAAAUCUCCUCCUCCGGUCGAUCGGCUCGCUGCUCCCACAAUCGUAGAUUUCUCGCUCGGCAUCAGCACGCAAGCGGAAUCAAUCGAGCCUCCACAUCGCAUGAUUUCCGAGCCGAGGUCGUCCGAUGGAGGGCUCCCAUCGGCCGGAGACCGUCCCGUCGGCGACGCCGCGGCCGCGGAGGACGAUUUUGAGGCAACGGAGGAGGUCGGCGGCGGCGGAUCGGUCGGCCGGGAGGAGGCGGUGGCCGACGUCUCCGGGAAAACGUGGGAGGUGGCGCUUCUCGAGAGGCCUCCGCGCGACGUCGGCGCCGAGGCCCUGUACGUGUACCGCAACACCUUCAAUUUGCUCCCGAGAACGAUCGGACGGCUGGGGAGGCUCAAGACCCUCAAAUUCUUCGCGAACGAGGUAGACGUUCUACCGCCGGAAGCUGAGGAUCUGGUGGAGUUGCGACGGUUGCAGGUGAAGGUCUCGUCGCCGCGGAUCUCGGGCAUCCCCUUUCGAAAGCUCAAGUCUUUGAAGGAGCUCGAGCUUUGUAAGGUCCCGCUGAGGCUGUCGGCGUUCUCUAUAUUGUCGGAGAUCUCCGGACUUAAGUGCCUUACAAAGCUCUCAAUCUGCCACUUUUCAAUCAGGUAUUUAAUCCUCCCACUUCGUUCGAUGAUAUGCGCCGAUUGCAGAGCUGUUCUUAACUAGUGAGCAGUAAUGCAGGAUACUUAAAUUUGGUAGGUUAAAAGUUGCAAUACUUCUACUUCGUUUGUUGUAUAACUAGUGUGGAGAUUAUAUUCUGGUUUAAUCUGAAGUCGAAACCAUGCCGUUCCUGAGGUGACAAUAUUCUGAAGGACCAAAAAAAACCAAAACAGAUCCUUCUUGCAGAGGUUAGAGAAGUAUGUAGUUCAAGGCUUUGGAGUUCGAGUUUUUUAAUGUUAGUCGCAUUUUAAGGGUCAGAUGUAUAGGAUCCUCUGUUCUAGUUAUAUGCAGGCCCAAUUCCAAGCGUUCGCACUUUAGAUAGGAUGCAAUUGAAAUGGAGGCUUCUGUUUCAGCGAAGUCCUUGCACUCUUUUUGAUGCCGUGAAAGCAAUGGUUGCCUAGAUCGUGUUUUGCUAAAUCAGUCAUCAUUUUUGUAAUUUGCUCUUUCAGUGGAUAGCCAUAUAGCAUUUAUAAUAUUAGUUUCUCAAAUCCUUUUGAAUCAAUGGAUUUAGAAACAACUUUUUAGCUAGUUUAUAUAUUCAUGUGCAAACUAUAAAUGUUCAUCAUAAAUCUUGGUUGCAGUUUGUGGUUGUCAAACAUGUUUCCUAGAUACACAGUGGUAUAUUCUUAGGGGCAGGACCAUUAAUUUGAUGAUUUUCUUCCAAUUUGCAGAUAUCUUCCUCCUGAAAUUGCUUCCCUGAAAAAACUUGAGGAACUUGAUCUCUCUUUCAAUAAGCUGAAGAACUUGCCUGAUGGCAUAUCCGAGUUGAAUGCCCUCCGAUCAUUAAAAGUUGCUAACAAUAAAUUGGUUGAUUUGCCAUCUGGAAUCUCUUCUUUAAGAUGCCUGGAGAGUCUGGACUUGUCAAACAAUAGACUCAUUUCAUUGACGUCGCUUAAUCUUGCUUCAAUGUUCACCCUUCAGUACUUGAAUCUUCAGGUAAAGUUCCAUUAUUAUGCUAUUUUUAUUUUUGACCACAAUAUUUGCAGUUUACUUCAAUUUGACAAUUCUUCUAAAUUUUGCUGGAUUUGUUUCUCUUGCUGCUCUGAAUUUAUUUGCUUUGUUUUUUAGUGCAACAUGCAUCAUUUUAAACUGCACCAAUUAAAUUAUUCUAACCUUUUUAAAAAUUAAGAAGAGGUCACAACAACAAUUUCUACAUUAAUUAUAUAUCUACAGGUACAUUCGUAUGCACAUACCCACAUAAUAAUUUGGGUGCAAAGAUGCUCAUGUAUAUUAAUAUACAUGUAGAUAAUCUUAUUCCUCCUUGUUACUGUAUAAAAAAAAGAGGAAAUUUUGCUGUGUUCUCUGAGAAUGGCUGAUGGUUAUUAGGCAUUUGUACACUUUGAAUUUCGACCGCCAAUUGGAUCUUUGUAGGAUUUGGAUGGUUUUAUUAUUUAGAUGGUUUCACUGUUCUAGCUUAUCAUGUAGUACACUUUGAAUUUGUACAAUUUGACUUUCGACCACCAAUUGAAUCUUUGUAGUAUUUGUUAUCAUGUACACUUAUUUUUAGGCAUUUAAACUUGUAAUUCUUGUGCUUUUAGAACUAACAUUCUUAUGCUAUUUUUCCACAAGUUUAAUAGGAUUCACGGUUCUUGUCAAAUUCCUUCAUGGAUAUCCUGCGAUUUCAGAGGAAAUGGAGAUGUCCCUAAGGGUGAAAGAGUCCAUUCAUUAGUCAAGAUGGGUGUUGAUGGUCUGGGAGCCAAGCAGAGCAUUGUGAAUAACCCAUGUAAUGGUAUGGACCAUUGUUUUUUCUAAAUUAAUCCUGAUUCAAGUUUAAAAGAACUGAUGGUUAUAUUCAAUCUUGAUAUCAGGUCACAUUGGAUCUUGUUCAUGUUUAUAUGCUGAAGCUUCAUCAAGUUCAAGAAUUCACACAGCACAGAAAAUGAGGAAGAGCUGGAAGCGACGUGAUGGCCCCCAACAGAGAGCUCGGCAGGAAAGGUUAAAUUUUAGCAGGAAUAGAAAAGUUGACGAUAGUAGUGACGAUGUGACUUCAAAGAUGGUUGAAGAAAAUGAUUCUAGUAAAGUGCCUGACAUGGAAAGCAAACAUCCCGAUAUGCAGGUUACUAUUGAUGAGGGAAACUUGAUUGAAUGUUCUUUGAAAUCAAGUUUUAGUUCAGAAGCUAUAUCUAGCUCUGUUGAUGAUGAUGUAUGUGUACAAGAUAGUGCCGAAAGUGAGAAAAUUAGCUUGAAGAAAAGUUGUCAGGAUGAUUUUUCAUGCACUAGUUCUGUGUCAACUUGCUUGAACAAAGACUCCGACUUUGAAGGAGAAUUGGAGGACAGUGGUUCAUCAGUCAAUCAUCUCAGUGAAGCCAAAGAAGUUAGUAAAAACUCUUGCAAGGCAACUAAAUUAUUUUUAAACUCAAAAAGGCAUCCUGAUAUGGACAAUAAUCCUAAGCCCAGAAAAUUUCGAAAGCCUUUCGAUGACUGUUCAAACCUUUCUUACAAGUAUAGCAUAGAAUCCUUUUGCAGUGUAGAUGACCAUCUACCAGAUGGCUUCUAUGAUGCUGGGCGUGAUCGACCCUUUAUGUCAAUACAAGAUUAUGAGCAGUCUUUCUCUCUUGGUUCACGGGAAAUUAUUCUUUUGGACAGGUUAGUUUAUAUCAUCUUUCAUAAUGUUGCUCUAAAUAUUUGUAGAAUGUUAUAUGAUUACUUAGGAUUUGUUUGGCUCUGCUGUUGGGUGUAGGCUGUUCAAUAAGUGCUAUUUGUCUAGCACCUUUAGUAGAAGAAUUUAGAAGAAGAACUAUAUCAAAUACCUAACAACCUUUUACAGCAGAAGGAGAAUUUCCAAUUUGGUCAUUUUUCUGUUUGGGGUCGUAAUCUCAUUUUAGCUUCCCACUACUGCAAUGGCUCAAGAUAUUCUUUUUGCAAAAAUGCGGCAAGAAGUAACUGCAUCUGAAACUAGAAGCAAAAAUGGGGCCAAAUGGGCACUUACCUUAUCUUGAUUUUAACUCAAAAUAAUGAAAUCUUUGUUUUGUUCGACUAGAGAAGAGGAUGAGGAGUUGGAUGCGAUUGUUUAUUCUGCACAAUUGUUGCUGUCUAGUUUAUCGAGGCCAAGUUUAGCUGAAAGAGAAGAUGCUGCUGCUGACAACUUAUUGAGGGCAUCGAUUCUCGCUCUCUUUGUUUCUGAUUGCUUUGGAGGUAGUGAGCGAGGUGAUUCUCUUAUGAGAACUAGAAGAGCUGUUGUGAGUUUGAAUAAGCAGCAGCCUUUCAUCUGUACUUGUUAUACCAGAAACAUUUUUGACAGCACUGGAGCAUCUAAACAACUGCAUGGCUUCGCUCAAAAUGUCAACUUCAGCGAUCUAUGUGACAGGUCCAUACAUUUUAUCAAGGAAACACAUAAGUCAAAUGUUGUGCCUAUAGGGAAACUGCAGUUUGGUGUUUGUAGGCAUAGAGCUGUUCUAAUGAAGGCAAGUCAUCUUCCCUCUACGCUUUGCUUGUUAGCUCAUAAUUCAGUUUUCUGUCUCUUUUUAUUUCUUUUAAAUAAAUCUCUAUCUUGAUUUUAGUUAUUAUGUUCGUGUAGUAUCUUUGUGAUCGAGUGGAUCCUCCAAUUCCUUGUGAGCUUGUUAGAGGAUAUCUAGAUUUUAUGCCUCAUGCUUGGAAUGCUGUUCUUGUUAGAAGAGGCAACACUUGGGUGAGGAUGGUUGUUGAUGCAUGCUAUCCAACUAAUAUUCGAGAAGAGACAGAUGCAGAGUACUUUUGCAGGUGAGCUGCUGUUGUGUUUAUGUAAAAUUUGUUUUUACAGCAUCUGUGUUUUAGAGAUAUUUUUUAUUGGCAAUACAUGGCAGGUUUAAAAUACUUCUUUUCAUCUAUACAGUGUUGUAAUAGCAUCUUGUUUCAUGGUUGCAUCUGACAUUUCACAUUUACUGUGUUAGUCUUGAACAAUGAUUUAGAUUUGGUUUGCCACACUUGUGCCUAUAAAGCCUUAAAGCCACUGGCUUUAUAUGGUGCCGUGGUACCACCAGCUCUUUGGGCCUAACGCCACAUGGCACAUGAAAAUUCAGGCAUAUUGUUUCUGGUACGUUAGAUUCGUGUACGGUUUGUCAUUAAUUUACCGUAAUACAUCAGGACAGUUAUGCCAAGUUCCAACUGCUUGUAAAUAUUGUUGAUGUUGUCAUCAUAUGAAAGCUGAGCAUUCUGGUUUUGCUUCUGUUUCAGGUAUAUUCCUCUCAAUCGACUGCAUAUUCCAUUGGAGGGUGAUAAUUCUCCCAUCUUCGGAUUCUCUUUUCCUUCCCUCUCGAUUUGCGAAGAAAUUGAGACUUCAUCAACACGCUCCAUCUUCCACUGUAAAAUUGGAACAGUUGACACUGCUGUUAAGGUAUUAUUCAACAUGCUAUGUCUUGCAGUUGCUUAUUUGUUAAUUUCUUGCCUUGAGAGUUACUGCUAUCAUGUUGUUAACUGACUUGAUUAAAUGUUUCAGGUGCGUAACUUAGAUGGACGUGUGGCUUCCAGUGAUGAAAUGAGAAAUUUUGAGUAUGGGUUUUUAGCAGAAGUGAGGAUGCUUGGUGCUUUGAGGAAACACAGGUGUAUAGUAGAUAUUUAUGGCCACCAGCUUUCUUGUAAGUGGAUUUCUUCGGGAGAUGGCAAUGAAGAAUACAGGCUACUGCAGUCUAUAAUUGCAGUGGAGUAUGUAAAAGGAGGGUCUGUAAAGGUUGGUCGAUGAAACAUACUCAUUUAUCUUCCAUUCUUAUAAUCUUUUAAAGAAAAUAUAUGGAUAGUUCCUGUACUAUGCCAAUACUGCAACUUAGUCCCCGAACUUUUCAUUGAAGGAUUUUAGUCUUUGAAAUUUCUCAUAUAUUGCAGUUUUAUCCCUACAUAUACAAAUUCUCCAGGUUCUUCUGUUAACCAUUUCCCUUCUGCAAAAUAGCUUUCUUGUACUUAAAAAUAGGUUAAAAGGGUAUGUGUUGUCAGUCUUUUUUGAGUGGCCGUGAUGGACUUGAAGAAUAUGGGACUAAAUUGUUUCAGCGAAUGGAUUAAGAACUGGGAUUAUCUAUACAUUCUGCAUAGUCUUUAUUGACCUGGCUAUCAUUUUUGUUAAUUUUCUACAGGGUUAUUUAAAGAAACUAUUGGAUGACGGUGAGAAGCAUGUCCCAAUUAACCUGGCAUUUCAUAUUGCUAGAGAUGUUUCCUGUGCGUUGGUCGAGCUGCACUCCAAGCUCAUUAUUCACCGUGAUAUAAAAAGUGAGAAUGUUUUGAUAGAUUGCAAUUCUAAGAGAAGUGACGGUUACCCGGUUGUCAAGCUUACCGAUUUUGACCAAUCAAUUCCUUUACACUCCUCUUCACACACGUGCUGUAUCGCUCACCAUGGUGUACAUCCUCCCAAUGUUUGUGUUGGGACACCUCGUUGGAUGGCUCCCGAAGUCUUGCAAGCUGUGCAUCAGAAAAAUCGAUAUGGGCUGGUAUGUCAUGCUUAUUUUGAGAAAUUAGAAAUUAAAUGUUGACCAGAAAAUUCUUUUCUUUGCUUCCCUUUCUAUCUUAUUAUACAGGCAAAAAGGUUUUGCCAUGUGUGAGAGAGUGUGUCAUAGUUGAUUCGACUUUGUUCUUGUUCAUUACAUGAUGUGACAGUGCUUUUCCUAAAGCAAUUAUGACAUGAUUAUAACAAGUAUUCAUAUACUGCUUAUAUUGAAAUUAAAAUAUUGUAGAAGAUGGCCAAAUUUACAGUACCCUACUGAUGUCUUGUGCUGGAUAUUCCUCUCCUGUUCCUACAGUAUAUGAUAAAAUUAUAUUCUUUUUAGACAAAUUUAUUGAGUAAUUUCCAUGAUUUUCCUAUCCUACUUGUCUACAGGAGGUGGAUAUUUGGUCAUUCGGGUGUUUUCUAUUGGAGUUGCUGACCCUUCAGGUCCCCUAUCAGGGAUUAUCUGAUUCAGAAAUAUAUGAUCGCUUACAAGUAAGUUAUUUUAAAAUGCUGCAGCCUUUUCAUUAUCUUCUCUUCUAACUUGGAAAUUAUGAUUACAUUAUAGAGGUGCAACUUGCCCCAGCUCUAUAGUUCUUUUCUUCUAUUUUCACUUAUGAACAGUGUAUUUAUGUAUGCCACCUCACAUUAGUUCUUGUUAGCUCAGUCUGGCUUGAUUGGAUGUUCUCUUUUUGGCUGUAUUGGGUGCAAUACUGUAGAAUAACAACUUUAGGUUUAUUGAAUGAAGAAAUUUGUUGCCCUAUCUCUCUCGUUUAUUUUUUUUCCUUCCUGGUGAGGCUAAGCAGAAGAAUCAUAAAAUGGUUCAACAUCACUUUCUGAAUCAUUUGCUUUUUGUGCUUUCCAUCAUUGUUAAGGACAGCUUUAGACCUUCACCACAGCAGGACAAGAAGUUUCCAAGUAGAGAUAUAUAAUAUUGCAUCAUGUUCUUGCGGUGGUACGCUGUUGUAGUCUUGAUAACAAUCAGAUCACUCCAAUUCCAAAGAAAAAUUUUGAAAUUUAAGUUGCUUUUCUUUUGAAAUCCUUGUUGUAGCUGCAGUCUGACGUGUCAAUCUUCUGUCUGAAGCUGAAACUUGUAUGAUGUUUUUUGAAUCGUCAUUUACCCUAAGCACUCGCCUAAGUUUAGCUCUUUGCGCUGAAUGAUUAUCCAAAAUCCUGCUAAAUACUCUCACUCUAAAUACUCUCUCUCUCUCUCUCUCUCUCUCUCUUCCUUUAGUUAGUUGUGCUUAUUCGUUUAACUCUUCAUGAACAGAGGAAACAAGGUCCGCAGCUAACACCAGAACUAGAAGCAUUCUCAUCCUUAGACGAGCCAAUUACUCGGCUGAAUUUGGGGAUAUCAUCUGAUGCUGCCGCCGUUAUGUUGAAGCUAUUAAUCGAUCUUUUCCACCAGUGUACCAGAGGAAAUCCAGCUGACCGUCCCACCGCAGAAAAUAUAUAUAACUCCCUCUGUUCUAAUUAUAGGAGGCCAAGUUCGACUUAAUCUUCAGGAAUGAGCUCUAUUCUCUUGCGGCUAAAGAGAUGUUUGUAGCUUCUAAUUUCUCCUGUAGUUUAUUUGUUGUUUUUGUUGGCCAAAGUCAAUAUAAUUGUAUCAGCCAUAUUGAUAAUCUUUAUGAUUUAUCAUUUUUUCCUUUGAUGAUCUCACCGAGGUGAUUUUGGGUCGCCCUGUUGUUGUUUUUUUCGUCCUGUAAUCUCAUUUAGCGCAGAUGGUAAGUUAGAUAUUGACAUAAUCUAUCGGACGCACUGAACCUAUGUAACGGAUAAUUGUUGUGGUUCUAAGUUAAAUCAGAGUUAGCAAUAUUGACAAUUUGUUUAAAUUUUGUAUGAGGUCAGAUGUAUUCUGAAGUUAUGUUAUAAUUUAUGAAUAGUUCUUGAUAGUGACCGGAUAUCUUCACCAACCAGAGUGUAGAAAAGUGUAAUUUAUGAACAGUUUUCAUAUAAUAGGGGCUGGACUUCUUCACCAACCAGAGUGGAGAAAAGUGUACAUGAUAUUAUUUUCCCACAGGGAUUCAGCACAAAUAGCUUUUAUAAAUAUUAGAUCAUUAAGUGGUCUUAUCUCUUAAGCUCGAUAACAUAAUAUGUUUAAUAAUGGAGGCAACAUGUUGUUGUACAAGUUAAAAGGGCUUUAUUUUUAUGUUUGUUUGCAUGUAUACAUAUUUAUUUAUUCACCUCAAUGGUAUGUAGCCAGACUAGUAAUUCAAAAACAUAUUGUAAUUGUGCAUAUAUGCAUAAAUUGCCAUGGUUUUGAAAAUUAACCGGUUUCCAGGAUGAAAAUAAGAAGAGUAACUCCGCAUAGGCAAAUAUAAUCUUACAGCUUUUGUUAUUUCAGGUAGUUAAAAUAAAAUUUUGCGCCUAGGAAUUUAACAUUCAAUUUUCUUCCUGUUGCAAUCGGAUACCGUAGAAAAUAACUUGGUGCAUGCAGAAACUACUUAAUUCUAAAGAUAGAAUUACUCAAAUAGCAUUUCUGUGUUCUGUAUAAGAUCCAACUCACCAUCUGACAUUUACUAGGCUUUUUUUUUAAAAAAAAAGUUCUGACAGUUUCAGUGAUGAACUUGUCUUGAUCAAUCAUCUGAGAAAAAUUUUACAGAAGGAUUUAAUUACUGAGCGAGGAUUGCAAGUUAAUGGCAGGUUGCAUCCAACUAUCCAAGGCCUCAUAAGAUCAUCUACUUAAUUACAAGAGGAGCUCCCCAUCUAGUUUUUGUCUUUCACCACUCCCAAGUGUAUACGGCGCGCGCCACACGACACAUAACAAAGAUUCUCUGAUCAGAGCUGCAGGCAUAGCACAUGAAGAGACCCAGCCAGAAGAAUCCCAAUCUGAAAUACUGUUUGAACCUUCUCUGGCUGGCAUUUUCAUAUGCUAUACUGUAGAGAAUUAAUGGAUUGUAAACAACUCAGCAUAAAAAUAUACAAGCUUUUAAUUUUGAGGCUCAAGUACAGCUACAAGCCUAGAAACCAAAUUAGGCUUAGUUGGACUCGAAUACGGAUACGUGCUGUAAUUAAAUACAGUCGCCUCUCUUUCUUUUGACUCGGCAUUACAAAAGCUUUGAACCCUAAUUGUUAGUAUCUGCAUCUCAUAAACGCAUGGGGUACGAACCCUAUGUCUUGCUCCCAUCCAUCCUCGACUAGUCGACUAGCCUUCUUUCCCCUACCACCUGCAGCCCUAGCUGAGAGACCUAGAAUAGAAUAGAAUAGAAUACAUCUCUCUAUCUCUCUCUCUCUCUCUCUCUCUCUCUCACACACACACACACACACACAUUCACAUGCAUGCACCAAACACAUUAAUGGGCUUACCCACCUUAGUAUCAUCUCCAUCUCAUGGGCAUUUACCCAGACCACCUCCUCCUAUAUAAAUUAAACAGCCCGGUGGGAUCUUUCAUGUGUUAAUUGUAGUUGUUUUACACUAUUUCUUUCUUUCUUUCUUCUUUGUUUUCUUCUUCUUCUUUUCCAGUUUCCAUGUUUAGCUUCUCUUCUUGUUAAAACUCUACUUUUACACUUUACAUGCAUGCAUGAGAAGGUUUACUUUCUCUCUAGUUAAUUAAUUUCUUUGCGGUUUAUAUUUCCUAUUUCGUUCACAUGUUUGCACCCUUAUGUUUUAGUGGUCUCUAAAGAUUUCGAUGGCCUCUAUCAUUUUACUUAAACAUGAAGAGGUUUCAUCUGGAAACCUUCAUAAAUACUCGUGAUCUUCUUGUUCGUGCCUAUCUUUGCGCCGUUUUCAGUUAACACUGAAUUUUUUUAAGUCCAAGCUAGCUUUUCUUUUUCUUUUGCAUGCAUGCUUUAUAUUCUAGUUUGUGCUUCAAGUUCCCGUGGGUUGUUUACGAAAUCUAUUUCCAUUUGAACUUCAAAUUAAGUGCUGAGAAAAGCAUGUUCGGAGAUUUGACUGCAUAUAUAUAUAUAUAUAUAUAUAUAUAUAUAUAGACUANAUAUAUAUAUAUAUAAGGACAAGUAUAUCAUAUUUUAUUGCAUUUUUCUUCUACUAAUUUUACUGAACUCUCUCUCUCUCUAUAUAUAUAUAGAGCGAGAGAGAUCUAGAUCUCUUUAAUGUAUUUUCUACAUAAUUUAAC
rnacentral:lncRNA from 1 species